CCCGUCGAACGCGAAGUGGACGCAUCGCGGAUGGAGUGCGUGCACUUUGGGGUUGACGGGAGCACUUUGUUUCUGUCGAGCACAGGCGACAGGAGCUGCCGUAACAUUAUGCCUAGUUGCUCCGCCUUCGCGUGUAGCAACCAAACGGAGUCCGGAAAGGCACUUUUCUGCACUCCGUGCGGGAACGACGACCGGGAUCAACGUUCUGCUUGGCUGCACAGAAUUGGCCGCAAAAACUUCACGCAUUUGAAGAACACCCGCUUGAUCGAGCUAAGAACAAAGACAAGAAAGCCUACCUGGCAGCGGAGGCAUGCCAGAUUUCGAAGAGCGACGACAAAUGCACGACCGAAGCAUCAGUAGUGCUAACCACCAAGAAAUACACUUCCUGGAUGCAUGCAUGGAUUGAACGCGCUGUGAUGUUUAUGGUUGGGACAUUAAUAUGUCUUGCGAUAUUUUGUUUUUAAUUUUCAGUUUUGUUAGGUUGCGCGUGCGUUAGUUUUUUUUCAUUUAUGUAUGAUUCAUUAGCACUAAACUUUCAGUGUGAGUAAAAAUGCGUUCUGCAUAGACAUUGACACUGAUACUAAUUGCAAGCAAACGUCAACCAACCACGUUGCCACCAGCCCACAGCUAGUAACCCAGAAUGUUCAGGUAACACACCACAAGCAACAGGGAGCCGAGGAGCACCCGACAAAUACCCCCAUGUCCCCUUGCCGAACCAUUGGCUGUACGUUGAGGCUUCUCUUGUUUGCCCAUAAUUAACUCUAUAGUAAUGUUAAAAAAACACCCCCGUCGGGCUGGAUUGUGUGUUUUCACGGUCGAACUGCCAUGUAAGGGACCCUGGGCCUCCGUCAAGCUGCUGCGACAGCUUUUUGCCCAGGUGUCCCUCCAGUUCCUUUUGUUUCUGGUAAAUAAAAUUGAUUGAUUGA